rnacentral:rRNA from 1 species
UACGUAGGGUGCGAGCGUUGUCCGGAAUUACUGGGCGUAAAGCGCACGUAGGCGGCGUUGCAAGUUAGAGGUGAAAGCCCGGAGCUCAACUCCGGAACUGCCUUUGAUACUGGCAAUCUCGAGUCCGGGAGAGGUGAGUGGAACUGCGAGUGUAGAGGUGAAAUUCGUAGAUAUUCGCAAGAACACCGUGGCGAAGGCGGCUCACUGGCCCGGUACUGACGCUGAGGUGCGAAAGCGUGGGGAGCAAACAGG